CUCACGCUGUCUUUGGCACUAUCCGUUCGUUAGGCUGUACAACACACGACCUUUGCCUGAACUUUUCCGCCGGCAUUUUCCCGCCAAAGGUUUUUAAUUUGAUUGCAUCUGUGAUUCUUGUGUCUAUGGAUAUUUUUUGUGAUGUGCUGCAUGUGAUCUGUGAUUGUGCCAUUUUUAAAUUGGGAAUUACCUAUAUACAGGAAUUUCGCGCCGAGGAAAAUCUUUUGGCGAAUGGAUUUCUAAUGAGGACCAAAAUAAGGACCUGAGUGAGAACGCGCCCGUGACUUCCGCUUCCGGCGCCGCGCCCGCGCAGCAUCCGCAUCCACCAGACCGGCAACACGCCUGAACCAACAGAUACCUAUGCCAAGAGAGUCACAGCAACCUUCGAGAGGAACUUUAAUAAAUUAUUGAAUUGUUUACUACCAUUUUUAAUACAUGUGCAUAUUUGUG